rnacentral:rRNA from 1 species
UUUUUAUAAAAAAUAUAUUUUAAAUUUAAAAUUAUAAGUUUAUUAAAAUUUAUAUUAUAUUUUUAUUGCACUGGGGCGGUGUAGAUAUAUUAAAUAACUGUUUAUGAAUUUAAAACAAUUAUAAUUGAUUAAUUUUAUUGAUCCUUUAAUAGAUUAUAAGAUUAAAAU